UACGUAGGGGGGCAAGCGUUGUCCGGAUUUAUUGGGCGUAAAGAGCGUGUAGGCGGCCACACAGGUCAGCUGUGAAAAACUCGAGGCUCAACCUCGAGACGUCGGUUGAAACCGUAUGGCUAGAGUCCGGAAGAGGAGAGUGGAAUUCCCGGUGUAGCGGUGAAAUGCGCAGAUAUCGGGAAGAACACCCGUGGCGAAGGCGGCUCUCUGGGACGGUACUGACGCUGAGACGCGAAAGCGUGGGGAGCGAACAGG
rnacentral:rRNA from 1 species